ensembl:snoRNA
CAGACUUACAGAUAGGUUCGAGAAAUAAAUCCUCUUUUGCAACCCAGAGCACAUUGUUCAGUAUGAGUUUCGAUACAUAUAAGAAUAAAUAUU